rnacentral:lncRNA from 1 species
CGUCCUCGGACCUGCGGGUCUCCGAGCGGGCUCCUGGUCGCCCACCCCGGGGCGCCGGCCCCCGCUCUCCGCCUGCUCCCGUGGCCAUUGCGCCCGCUCUGGAGUAACACGUAUGCUACUUCGGGCGACUGUUGUCUUUGCAGGCCAGAGCCAUGUGGUUGUGCAGAAGUGCUGCGCCUUCCACGCCGCGGGUGUCGGGCUUUUUAGUAAGAUAGACCGGGCAGAACCGCCCCAACUCCACCAGGACGCGUGCGUCCCCUGCUCGGUCCUCCCCGCUCCGUUCCUCCUCUCUCCAGGAGGCGUUUGCCUGAGUUUACCCCUUAGAGCUCACGUUCCUGCCUGCUUUACUCCACCCCAGCUGGGCUUUCCCCAAUUGGCAGAUUGCUACUCUGGCUUUACUCUUGGGUGGUGCUGCCAUCAUUCUCAUUGCAUUCCUGGUGGGUUUGAUUUCUAUCUGCGUGGGAUCUCGAAGACGCUUCUACAGACCUGUUGCUGUCAUGCUUUUUGCAGCAGUUGUUUUACAGGUUUGCAGCCUGGUCCUUUACCCAAUCAAGUUCAUUGAAACUGUGAGCUUGAAAAUUUACCAUGAGUUCAAUUGGGGUUAUGGCCUGGCCUGGGGUGCAACUAUAUUUUCGUUUGGGGGUGCCAUCCUUUAUUGCCUGAACCCUAAGAACUAUGAAGAUUACUACUAGAACCAAUAGUCUCAGAUUUGGGGG